rnacentral:rRNA from 1 species
AACGAACGCUGGCGGCAGGCUUAACACAUGCAAGUCGAGCGCAUCCUUCGGGGUGAGCGGCGGACGGGUGAGUAACGCGUGGGAACGUGCCCUCUUCUACGGAAUAGCCUCGGGAAACUGAGAGUAAUGCCGUAUACGCCCGCAAGGGGAAAGAUUUAUCGGAGGAGGAUCGGCCCGCGUUGGAUUAGGUAGUUGGUGGGGUAACGGCCUACCAAGCCGACGAUCCAUAGCUGGUUUGAAAGGAUGAUCAGCCACACUGGGACUGAGACACGGCCCAGACUCCUACGGGAGGCAGCAGUGGGGAAUCUUGGACAAUGGGGGCAACCCUGAUCCAGCCAUGCCGCGUGAUCGAUGAAGGCCUUAGGGUUGUAAAGAUCUUUCAGCUGGGAAGAUAAUGACGGUACCAGCAGAAGAAGCCCCGGCUAACUCCGUG